rnacentral:snoRNA from 1 species
UAACGUUUGCUACACUCUGGGACUUAGUUUAAUUCCACACUAUUUCCCUAUUUACGUACAAACAAGAUAGACUUUAGGACACCUACUCACCGAGAUAGCCGAAAAUUUCGUGGUUAUGUUGGUCCAUUUCAGUGUCAGACAU